ensembl:lncRNA
UAUAUUGUUGGAUGCCUUGGUUACACCCUGAGGUCCUGAAUAUUGUUGGAUGCCUUGGUUACACCUUGAGACCCUGAAUAUUGUUGGAUGCCUUGGUUACACCCUGAGAUGCUGAAUAUAGUUGGAUGCCUUGGUUACAUCCUGAGGUCCUGAAUAUUGUUGGAUGCCUUGGUUACACCCUGAGGUCCUGAAUAUUGUUGGAUGCCUUGAUUACACCCUGAGACACUGAAUAAUGAUGGAUGCCUUGAUUACACCCUGAGGUCCUGAAUAUUGUUGGAUGCCUUGGUUACACCCUGAGGUCCUGAAUAUUGUUGGAUGCCUUGGUUACACCCUGAGGUCCUGAAUAUUGUUG